UAAUGCAAACAACUAACAUCAGCCUGUAGUAUGUAUGUGACCUUAUUAGUCUGUUAGCAGCCUUAUAAGAGGUACUAUUAUAAAAACAUUAUCUAUGUAACCGAUGAAAAAACUGAGGCCGAGAUUACUGAAGUGACUUGCCCAAGGUCACGCAGCAGGUUGGAACUAGAAUGAGGAUUACACAGGAACCUGCCUAGUUUCCAUCUGAGGCUCUCUGCUCUAUGACCCAACAGCACACACUGAGCAUCCUGACUUCUCAGCACACAGACAGACUUCAUCUGAAUGAGGUUCCUUCUGGACAACUCCUUCUGGUACAUCAAGGGUUACAGAAAUACCAUCUCCCCCACUCUUGCAACUCCUUGAAAUUGAGAUAAAUGCAGCUGGAAGGAAACUUCAUCAUGAAGAUAGAAGGAGUGAGCCAGAGUACUUGCAUUCGAAUGAUUUCUGAACUCCACUGAUUCAAGUUCCAUUCAGAUAGAGAAGCUCAGAAAUGAAAUCAGCUGCCUCCCAGGAUUUUUAAAAUGGAGGUAAGGAUAACCUUGUUAGAGAUUCUGCAAGAAUUCAAUAAAGUAAGAUAUACAAAAGGGUCCCGAAAGUGUUAGCACAAGCUAAAAACACUGAAGCUCAGAGGUGAAGAGACUUACCCAAAACUGCCAUCGGUUUAGACAUCCCCUCCUCCCUGAUUCCUGCUCUUGACAGGUAUGAUGUGAAUCCUCAGAAUCCACACAGUGGGCGAUAGUUCCCUCAUCAGAGCACUCUGGAAUGCAGUGAACAGUUAAGAGAAUAAAUGAAAAUGCCCUCCAUCUCCUCCUUAAAAAUAGUUGACAUGCAUUGAAUGCCUGCUCCAUCAAAGGCACUUUCCACGGACUAUUUUGUAUCAUCCUUAACAGAGGAGGAUAACCGUGGCCAAGAGAUGUUGACGGUUUGCCUAAGAUUGCAGAACCUGCUAAAAGCAGAAGCAUUUUCAAGCACAGAAACACCCGGGGAAAUGUUCAUUCUUCCUUCAACAACUCUGAAAUCUCCUAAAACAUGCAGCCCACCAGGAGUGGCAAUGGAAAAAAGGCACAGGAAGAAAAUAAACCAAGAAGGAAAAGAUAACACACACAUCUCACGUGGGCCUUCAGGAAGGAUGGGAGAAGCAGGGCAGGGAGAGGGAGAAGCACCAGCCAGCCUCAGUUCUUCCUUUGCUCAUCCCUCCCCCUUCUUUUUCCUUCCCUCCCCCUUUUCCUGCAUGCAGCAGCAAAUGUAUGAAUGCUUGGAUGGCUUGGCAAAACACUCUCCAAGAUUUAUUUCUGUUGGACAAUCUUGCAUUCUUUUUUUUUCCCCCUGCUGACAACUCUGUCAACAGCAGGCUCCUCUGUGAGGCUGUGAAUUUGGAAAUCACGUACUUGAUACAGACAUUGUUGCAAUGAUACAAACCAGACUAAGAAAGUGGACUCCUGAGAUCAGGGAGACCUGCAGACCUACUUGGUUCAUUACCUGGGAGUCACCGAGACCUCAGGGCUUGGCGAAGAGACCAUCUGGGGAGGGGGAGGGGGAGGGGGCAGCGGUCCUGGGCGUGUGGUCAGUUCAAGGCAAGGAGAUGGUUCCAGUAGUUCAAAAGCUAGAUCUGUUUGUACGAGCUCCAACAGUAGCUUUGAAUUGCUUUGAAACUCGAGUGUUGAUAAGCCGCUAGGUAGUGGGGUACUGGGUAAUAAAUGUGAAAAAUGUUUAGUCGA